CAUGUGAACAGGCUCUUAGUAUCAAAUAAAAUGAGAAUUAAUCAGUUAAAUAUCGACUGGAUAGUUAUAAUAAAAUUGCUUCUCUCAUAUUCUUAUUGGAACUCUGAUUUUUCCAGGUUCCCUGUGACUGCUUACUGUACCAAGCCUGCUCCCAAAGGGCCGCUAUUUAUAAGUUCCAACAAAAACACACUAGUGCUUGUAAAAAAUAUUUUUGGUUCCCGUCAAGCAUUCACAUGGACUAUUGACAAUGAGAACUUCAUUGUUCGGACCUCAAAACAAAAUAUCAAACCAAGUGAGCAUCUCGAAUUAGCGAUUGGUUUGAAGAUUCAAAAUGAGCAAACGGUGAAAAAUAUUCAUCCACAAAUACCAAUUACUGGAAAACUUGUUAUCAGUUGUGAAGAACUUGGUAUUGACUGGAUUUUCUACUUGAGAAACGGCAAUGAAGAAUAAAUUGACUAUUACAAAGACAAACGAAUAAAUAAGAAGAGCUUUUUACUUGAAAUUGUAAAUUAUAUUCAGUGAACACUGUCUGGUGGAUAAUAACUUUUUUCGAUUGUCAAGGAUGUUACGCGCAAUUAAGAAAUUGCAAGGAUAUUAUUUAGUUGUCUGUUGACAUAAAAUUAAAUAAAAAUAUCUUGUU